rnacentral:rRNA from 1 species
GUAGGUGGCAAGCGUUGUCCGGAAUUAUUGGGCGUAAAGCGCGCGCAGGCGGUUCUUUAGGUCUGAUGUGAAAGCCCACGACUCAACCGUGGAGGGUCAUUGGAAACUGGAGAACUUGAGUACAGAAGAGGAAAGCGGAAUUCCGCGUGUAGCGGUGAAAUGCGUAGAGAUGUGGAGGAACACCAGUGGCGAAGGCGGCUUUCUGGUCUGUAACUGACGCUGAGGCGCGAAAGCGUGGGGAGCAAACAGGGAUUAGAUACCCUGGUAGUCCACGCCGUAAACGAUGAGUGCUAAGUGUUAGGGGGGUUUCCCGCCCCUUAGUGCUGCAGCUAACGCAUUAAGCACUCCGCCUGGGGAGUACGGCCGCAAGGCUG